rnacentral:rRNA from 1 species
AACGGUAGAACUGCCUUUGAUACUGGCAAACUUGAGUUAUUGUGAAGUAGUUAGAAUGUGUAGUGUAGCGGUGAAAUGCAUAGAUAUUACACAGAAUACCGAUUGCGAAAGCAGAUUACUAACAAUAUACUGACGCUGAGGGACGAAAGCGUGGGUAGCGAACAGGAUUAGAUACCCUGGUAGUCCACGCCGUAAACGGUGGUCACUAGCUGUUUGAUGUACAUUGGUACAUUGAGUGGCUAAGCGAAAGUGAUAAGUGACCCACCUGGGGAGUACGCUCGCAAGAGUGAAACCCAAAGGAAUUGACGGGGGCCCGCACAAGCGGUGGAGCAUGUGGUUUAAUUCGAUGAUACGCGAGGAACCUUACCAGGACUUAAAUGUAAGUUGCAUGAUUCAGAAAUGGAUCUUUCUUCGGACUACUUACAAGGUGCUGCAUGGUUGUCGUCAGCUCGUGCCGUGAGGUGUCAGGUUAAGUCCUAUAACGAGCGCAACCCCUAUCGUUAGUUGCCAUCAAGUAAAGUUGGGAACUCUAGCGAAACUGCCGGUGCAAACCGUGAGGAAGGUGGGGAUGACGUCAAAUCAUCACGGCCCUUACGUUCUGGGCUACACACGUGCUACAAUGGCCGGUACAGAAAGCAGCCACUAUGCGAAUAGGAGCUAAUCUUCAAAGCCGGUCUCAGUUCGGAUCGCAGUCUGCAACUCGACUGCGUGAAGCUGGAAUCGCUAGUAAUCGGAUAUCAGCCAUGAUCCGGUGAAUACGUUCCCGGGCCUUGUACACACCGCCCGUCAAGCCAUGGAAGCUGGGGGUACCUAAAGUCGGUGACCGAAAGGAGCCGCCUAGGGUAAAACUAGUAACUGGGGCUAAGUCGUAACAAGGUAACCGUA